rnacentral:tRNA from 1 species
GGAGAGGUGUCCGAGCGGUCGAAGGAGCACGCCUGGAAAGUGUGUGUGCGGUUAAAGCCGCACCGAGGGUUCGAAUCCCUCCCUCUCCGCCA